rnacentral:rRNA from 1 species
UACGGAGGGUGCAAGCGUUUAUCCGGAUUCACUGGGUUUAAAGGGUGCGUAGGUGGGUUGGUAAGUCGGAUGUGAAACCUCCAGCUCAACCUGGAGUCGCCAUCCGAUACUGCUAUGGCUAGAGUCCGGUAGGGGCCCACGGAAUUCCUGGUGUAGCGGUGAAAUGCGCAGAUAUCGGGAAGAACACCAGUGGCGAAGGCGACUCACUGGCCCGAUACGUGACGCUGAGGCGCGAAAGCAUGGGGAGCAAACAGG